CCUACGGGGGGCAGCAGUGAGGAAUAUUGGUCAAUGGACGAGAGUCUGAACCAGCCAAGUAGCGUGAAGGAUGACUGCCCUAUGGGUUGUAAACUUCUUUUAUAUGGGAAUAAAAUGUUCCACGUGUGGGAUUUUGUAUGUACCAUAUGAAUAAGGAUCGGCUAACUCCGUGCCAGCAGCCGCGGUAAUACGGAGGAUCCGAGCGUUAGCCGGAUUUAUUGGGUUUAAAGGGAGCGUAGGUGGAUUGUUAAGUCAGUUGUGAAAGUUUGCGGCUCAACCGUAAAAUUGCAGUUGAAACUGGCAGUCGUGAGUACAGUAGAGGUGGGCGGAAUGCGUGGUGUAGCGGUGAAAUGCUUAGAUAUCACGAAGAACUCCGAUUGCGAAGGCAGCUCACUGGACUGCAACUGACACUGAGGCUCGAAAGUGUGGGUAUCAAACAGGAUUAGAUACCCGUGUAGUC
rnacentral:rRNA from 1 species